UUCUAAGAGUUUUUAUAUAUUCUACAUACAAGUCCCUCAUAAGAUGCUUGAUUUGAAAAUAUCUUCUCCCAUUCUGUGAGUUGUCUUUCUUUUUUCUGAUAGCACCCAUUUAAACACAAAAGCAUUUCAUAUUUUUAAGCCCCAAUUUGUAUACUUUUUCUUUUGUUGUUUGUGCUUACUGUGUCAAAGCUAAAAACUCAAUGCCAAAUUUAUGGUCCCAAAGAUUUACUCCUAUGUUUCCUUCUAAGAAUUGUAUAGUUUUAGUUCUUACAUGAGGCCUUCAAGUUUGAGCCAAUUUUUGUAUUUUGCGUAAAAUAAGGUUCAACUUCAUAUUUUUUGCAUGUGGAUAUCCAGAUGCCCCAGCAUCACUUAUUGAAACGUCUAUUCUCCCUUUGUUGAAUUGAAUGGUGAUGUCAUAGAAAAUGGUGGAGUUGGAAACUAGAAGAAUCAGGGCCUUAACUGAACCAACCAUUAAGCUGGAAAAUCUUACAGAAUCAACUUUUCUCGAACUCUUAAAUCUAAACAAAAACUUACAGGCACUUAAGAAAAUCUCUUUCAGCUGUUGGGUUACCGGCUGACAUCUGAGGUCACAGAACAGAGGCUUCAGUGACUGCGCAUGACAAAGAAUACAGCUUUUGCAAAAAUAGUUUGCAAAAGUCACUAAACAAAUAGAUGACUUCAGCCCUCAAUCAACAACAGCAAACCUGAAGGAAGGGAAAAUCUUAUUUACGGAGUUACCUCAUUAUGAUAUUCAACAUGUCUAGUUUUCAACAACAACAACAAAAAAAUGCAAGGUGUAGAAAUAGGAAAAUACAGGCCAUUCACAGGGGAGAAAAAAAGAAAGAAAUGGAGAGAAGCUAUUUUUUGACGAAGUCCAAGCACUGGAUUUAUAGAAAAGACUUUAAGUCAACCAUAGUGUGAGGUGAUUAGAAAAUAUCAUUGGCAAUAAACUUUUAAUUAUAUGCUCAGUGUAAAACAUUUGAAACUAUUUUCAUGAGACUGACAAUGCCACCAACUCUACUUUUUAUUUUUAACGAGUUCUUUUUCUAAUUAUUGUCUUAUAUUCAGUUUUGGAAACAAAGCCUUCAACUCUUCCCUUACUCCAGAGAAGGGAUAAAGGAUAGUUCUCUUAAAAUUUGUGUUCUGCAUUAGUCUAAAGGGCAAUUUCAUCUAUGCUCUGAUUACAUAAUUGAAAAAAUAUGAAUUUGUAAAGAAAAAAAUGGCAAUGCUACCAGACCAGUGCAACUGUAAGUGCUGGCUUCUGGCCUGUGUGUGCACUAGUCCACAAUGAGGUUAAAAAAAAUUGAGAGUAAAUGUUUAGAAAAUUUUACAACAAUUUCACAGAGUAGUUCUAUGUCUGUUGGAUAUAAUAAUGAAAGACUUGGUGGUAUUUCCAAUGCUUUCCAUUUCAUUUGUCUACUCAUUUACUUUUAUUUUACUUUACAGAAGUACUGAUCCACAACAUAUUUGGCAAAAUUUUCUUAAAACUAGUCCUUUAUUUAAAAACUAGCACUGUUUAAGACACACUGUGCCAAGCAUAUUUACCAAGGCUUCUGAAUCAGCUUUUAUUUGAGAGGAGAACAAUUAUUUCCUCUGGUACCAAAAUACUUAGAUCUCAACCCAAGGACAAAGCUGACAAACAAUUAACUACAUUGACAAAAAAAAAAAAAAAAUCUCAAAUUACUACAAUCAGGAGUGAAACAGGGGACAUGACUACCAUUUGGGGGGCCCCCUUUUUCUUUCUCAGAUAACCACUUUAGGUUUUUUUUAUUCUCUCUGAUUUUCUGUUAUCUAUUCUGUUUCUUGAUGCUGUCAUCUUGAGCUAAUUUUUCUUCUAUCUCGCUGCUUUGAAUUUAGUUUGCUCUUCUUUUUCUAGUUUUAAGGUAGACAGGUUGUUGUUUGAGAUUUUUUUUAUUUUUUAAGGUAGGCUUUUAAAAUUCUUAAUGUCCAGCUGAGCAUUGCUUUUGCUGUGUUCUAUAAGUUUUAGUAUGUUAUGUUGUCAUUUUCAUUUAUCUCAAAAUAUGUUCUAAUUUCCCUUGUGAUUUCUUCUUUGCCCCACUGGUUACCUAGGAGUUUGGUGUAAUGUUCGCAUAUUUGUGAAUUUUUCAAAUUUCAUUCUGUUAUUGCCUUUUAAUUUAGGUUCUUUGUGAUUGGAGAGCGUACUCUGAAUGAUUUAAAUCUAUUUAGGUUUAUCCUAAUUUGUUUUGUGGCCGAACAUAUGGUCUGUGCUAGAAAAUGUUUCAUGUGCAUAUUAUUAGAACACACAUUCUGCUGUCCUUUCUGAAGUGAUCUGUAGAUGUGUUUAGGUCUAGCAGAUAUACAAUACUAUUCAAGUAACCUAUUUUCUUGUUGAUCUUAUGUCUAGUUGUUCUUUACAUCAAUGAAAAUGGGGUACAAAAGUUUCCAACUCUCAUUGGAACUGUCAUUUAUCUCUUCAAUUCUGUCAGUUUUGCUUCAUGUAUUUUGAGGUUCUGAUGUUCAGUGCAGAUGUUUAUAUUUGUGAUGUCUUCUUGAUGGAUUAUCCUUUUAUCAUUACAUAAUGUCACUUUGUCUCUCAUAACAAUUUUUAUCUUAAAGUCUACUUUUUCUGACAUUAGUAUAGUCACUCAAUUUCUUUUCUUUCUUUCUUUCUUUUUUUUUUAG
rnacentral:lncRNA from 1 species